UACGUAGGGUGCAAGCGUUAAUCGGAAUUACUGGGCGUAAAGGGCGCGUAGGCGGCUCAUGAAGGCUGUGGUGAAAGUCCGGGGCUCAACCUCGGAUCGGCCGUGGCGACUCGUGGGCUGGAGCACUGUAGAGGCGGGUGGAAUUCCGGGUGUAGCGGUGGAAUGCGUAGAGAUCCGGAAGAACACCAGUGGCGAAGGCGGCCCGCUGGGCAGUGGCUGACGCUGAGGCGCGACAGCGUGGGGAGCAAACAGG
rnacentral:rRNA from 1 species